CUCAUCUGAAUAUCCGUUUUGCAGUCUCAAACCUCUCUCAUAUUCCAUGCUUUUUCGGAUAGUUGUUUCAGAUUCGUAGUGAUCAGUUUGAUUAAUUCGUGUUUUGGAAUCCUAUGUGCUUUGAUUUUCUGGAAAUUUUGGUUUCUCCCUUGAUCGGUUGCCAAAGAAGUCCGUUUCUAGUUACUCAUGUUCGUCUGUAUGUUUUCUCAUGUUGAUGUAGCUCAGAUCAUGGAUUUGAAGUCAAGUGCCAAGGCUUCGGAUUUGUUCUAUUUGAACGGAAACGAUCGGUUUGAUCAAUACGUGUCUAGUUAUCCUAUGCUUGAUUUUGUGGAAAUUUCGCGUUUAUAUUGAUCGGUUGCUUACGAUUUCUGUUUCCGAUUAUUUAUUGUUGGUAUGUCUGUCAUGCCUUGAUGUAGUUUGGAUCGUGGAUUCGAUUUCAGCCUGCUACUUAUGGAUGUCUUUUGGUUGAACAACAUGGAUCGGUUCGAUAAUACGUGUUUGGUUAUCUUAUGCGUGGUUCUCUAUGAAAUUUGGUUUAUGUCUUUAUCGGUUGCUGAAGAUGUCUAUUUCUACUUACUUAUGCUCGUCUGCAUGUCUUGUCAUGUUGAUGUAGCUCAGAUCGUGGAUUUGAAGUCAAGUGCAAGGCUUCGGAUUUUUCGAGUUGAAUGAAAACGAUCGGUUUGAUCGAUACGUGUCUAGUUAUCAUGUGCUUAAUUUUGUGAAAAUUCCGCGUUUAUAUUGAUUGGUUGCUUAAGAUUUCUGUUUCCGGUUAUUUAUUGUUGGAAUUUCUGUCAUGCCUUGAUGUAUUUUGGAUCGUGGAUUCGUUUUCAGCCUGCUGCUUUCGGAUGUCUUUUGGUUGAACGACAUGGAUCGGUUUGAUAAUACGUGUUUGGUUAUCUUAUGCGUGGUUCUCUAUUAAUUUUGGUUUAUGUCGUGAUCGGUUGCAGAAGAUGUCUAUUUCUAGUUACUUAUGCUCGUCUGUAUGUCUUAUCUUGUUGAUGUAGCUCAGAUUGCGGAUUUGAUCAAGUGCAAGGCUCCGGAUUUGUUCUAGUUGAGCGAAUAUAUCGGUUUAUCCUAUGCUUGGUUUUUUGGAGCUUUUGCCUAUAUAUUGAUAGGAUGCUUUCAUUUCCUCUUUCCAAAUAUGUAUUGUUGCUUGUCUGUCAUGACUUGAUGUAGUUCCGGUCGCAAAUUUGGUUUCAGCAGCAAGCUUUAGGAUUUCUUUUGGUUGAACGACCUUGAUAGGUUUACAAGCUUGGUUUUAGUCCUUCAUCACUCAUCAGCAAGCUUGGUUGAACGACAUGGAUCGGUUUGGCAGGCCUUUGAAUUUCCCUUCAUUAGUUGACUCAUUUAAUAUUUUAUUAGACUUAAAUUUGUGGGUUGUUCUUUGCUGUUUUGGUUAUUCUUCCUAGGUUUGAUCUAAUAUUGGGGUUCAUUAACCUAAUGCUAAGAAGUCCCAUGUAGAGCAGCCAUCAGUUAGUCCCAUGAUGAUCAUUAGUGGCCUUGUCAUGCUUGGUUUUAUUCCUUCCAAAAUUUUGGUUUUGAUUUCCCAAAAUUUCUUCACUCUUUUACUGUAUAUAUAAUUUAGUAAAAUCCUAAUUCUUCCUUUAUAUUUAUUCUUCUGCAUAAUUGCAGGUCUAGUUGUGUUGUGUGACAAGGGCCAGUUCAGGACACCUUCCAAUUGUGAAAAUUUUGGUUUGGUUGUAGUUUUCUUUUUGGGUGCUUUGCCCUUUCCCCUUCACUAGUAGAGUAGACAUAUCAUUGUUUGUUUAUUAACUUUUUGGGUUUCUAUGCUCUUGAUGUUCUUUCUAGGUUUAAUCCAAGGUUGUGGUGUUGAUUAGCCUAGUUCCUAGAGGAGGGAGCCAGUCCAUUCAGAGUUGUAUGAUGAUUAUUAGUAGUGUGCUAUUUUUUAUUAUUAUUUUUUUAAUCUAAUGAGUUCAGUUUGAUGCAUGAAUCUCUGGAUAUCUCUCAUUCAUCAAAUAAUAAGUUCAGUUGGCCAUAUUAAUGGGCAGGUUCUGUAUGUCUUGUCAUGUUGAUGUAGCUCAGAGCCUCAGAUCGUGGAUUUGGUAUCAAGUUCAAGGCUCUGUAUAUGUUCUAGUUGAGCAAAUAGAUCUGUUUGAUCAUUAACCGUUCAGUUAUCCUAUUUUUGGUUUUCUGAAAAUUUUGAGUUUAUUUUGAUCGGUGGCUUUCAAUAUCUCUUUCCGAUUAUGUAUUGCCAGUUUGUCUGUCAUGGCUUGACGUAGUUUGGAUCACAGAUUUGGUUUCAGCAGCAAGCUUUCGGGGAUUGGUUUGACAAGCUUGGUUCUAUUCCUUCAUCACUCAUCAGCAUGCUUGGUUGAAUGAUGUGUAUUGGUUUGUCAAGCUUUUGGAUUUCCCUUCACUAGACACUAGUAGACACAUUUAAUAUUUGAUUAGAUUUAAUUUUGUGGGGAGUUCUUUGAUGUUUUGAUUAUUCUUCCUAGGUUUGUUCCAAUAAUUGGGGUUCAUUAAUUUAAUGCUAAGAGGUCCAUGUAGAGCAGCCCUGUGAUGAUCAUUAGUGGUUUUAUCAAGCUUGGUUCUAUUCCUUCGAAAAAAUUUUGUCCAUGAAAUUUUUGGUUGUGAUUUCCAAAAUUUUCUCUACUCUUUUACUAUGUAUGAUUGAGUUCUAUUUAUUGUUCUGCAUAAUUGCAGGUCAUGUAUUGUGUUAGAAGGGUCAGAUCUGGACAUUUUCCAUUUGUGAAAAUUAUGGUUUGGCUGUGGUUUAAUAGUUCUUUUUUUUUUUUUGCCCUUUCUCCUUCACUAGUGGACAUAUCAUUGUUUGUUUACUCUUAAUUUUGGGGUUUCUUUGCGCUUGAUGUCCUUUCUAGGUUUAAUCCAAGAUUGUGUGGCUGAUUAACCUUAAUUCCUAGAGGCAGCAUAUGGAGACAAUCCUUUAAUGAUCAUAAGUGGCGAGCCUUGUUGUUUAUCCAAAGUUCAGUACGAUGCAUCAAUGCCCAGUUAUCUCUCAUUCAUCAAAUAAUCAGUUAAAUACUUGUACCUUUGGCCAUAUUAAUGCUCGGCUUUGUUUCUGGCUUGAUGUUCUUUUGAGGUGUAGUUCAACUUGGGGGGUGCACAAUGGACUGCAGCAGGGGGUCAUUGACCUAUUUGGUUUGGAAGUGUUUUGUCAAAUCUGAUUUUUCAAUGCAAUUCUCAUAGUUAUUCCCAACUUUGAUGAAUUUUGUAAUAUUGUGGCUCACAGGUUUGCAAGAGGUCUAACGAACGUAAUAGAUCGGUUUGAUUGAUACGAUAAGUUAUCAUAUGCCUGAUUAAAGUUUGUGUUUAUAUGUAUCUGUUGGUUAAGAUUUCUGUUUCCAAUUAUUUAUGGUUGGUAUGUCUGUCAUUGACUUGAUAUAGUUUGGAUCAUGGAUUCGGUUUCUGCUGCUACUUUUGGAUGUCUUUUGGUUGAAUGACAUGUGAUCAAUUUGAUAAUACUUGUUUGGUUAUCUUAUGCUUGGUUCUCUAUAAAUUUUGGUAUAUUUCUUGAUCGGUUGCUGAAGAUGACAAUUUCCAGUUACUUAUGCUCUGUAUGUAUGUCUUGUGAUCUAGCUUAGAUCGUGGAUUUGGUAUCAAGUUCAAGGCUCUGGAUAUGUUGUAGUUGGGCGAAUAGAUCAGUUUGAUCAUUGCUUCAUUUGCUUGUUCAGUUAUCUAUUCUCGAUUUUCUGGAAAUUUUGAGUUCAUAUUGAUCGGUGGCUUACAUUUUUCUCUUUCCAAUUAUGUAUUGUUGCUUUGUCUGUCAUGACUUGAUGUAGUUCGGAUCAUGGGUUCGGUUUCAACAGCUAGCUUUCAGGUUGAACUAUGUGGAUUGGCUUGACAAGCUAUGUUCUAUUCCUUCAUCACUCAUCAGCAAGCUUGGUUGAACGAUGUGGAUCGGUUUGGCAAGCUUUUUGAUUUCCCUUCACUAGUAGACACAUUUAAUCUUUGAUUAGACUUAAUUUUGUGGGAGGUUCUUUGCUGUGUUGGUUAUUCUUUUUAGGUUUGAUCCAAUAUUGGGGUUCAUUAACCUAUGUUAAGAGGUUCCAUGUAGAGCAGCCCAGUCAGUCCCAUGAUGAUCAUAAGUGGCCUUAUCAAGCUUGGUUUUAUUCUUUCUAAAAAUUUUUAUCCAUUAGUUUUUUAUUGUGAUUUCCUAAAUUUUCUCCACUCUCUUACUAUAUAUAUGAUUUAGUGAAAUCAUAUCUUCCCUUAUGUUUAUUCUUCUGCAUCUUUGCAGGUCUAGAUGUAUUGUGUUAGACAGGUCAGUUCUGGACAUAUUCCAUUCAUGAAAAUUUUGGUUUUGUUGUGGUUAAUUAUUCCUUUUUCUGUGCUUUGCCCUUUCUCCUUCACUAGUAGACAUUAGCAUUUUUUCUAGUUGUAUGAUGAUGAUUCAUUAGUGCCCUGCCUUAUUUAUCCAUUGAGUUCAGUUUGAUGCAUCAAUGCCUGGUUAUCUCUUAUCAAUCAAAUAAUCAGUUAGUGUAUUUAAAUACUUUUUCUUUGACCAUAUUAAUGAUCAUGUUCUUUUCUCUCUUUAUGUCCUUUCAAGGUCUAGUUCAACUUGGAGGGUGCACAAUUAAUUGCCAGGGGUCAUUGACCUGUUUGGUUUGGAAGUCUUUUGUCAAGCUUCUUAACUGAUUUUUCAAUGCUCUCAUUCUCCUCAUUCUCAUCAUUCUCCCCAUUUUUGAUGAAUUUUGUAAUAUUGUGGUUCAUAGGUUAGCAAGAGGUCUAACCUAGGGUAUAUGAGCUAGAGCCCAGAGUGUGAUCAUCAUUACAACCUUCUAUCUGGAAAAAUAUUUAUCCAAGUUUGAUUAAUACUUAUGUUCUCUUUCAUGGUUGCAUUGUUGUGAAUUUUUGGAUGUUUUCAGUUCCCCAAAAUUUCUCCUAUUUUUUAUGUGUGAACAUUUUUCUUGUUUCCCCACCCCACUAAUAGGCUUAUUGUUUUUCUAUAAAUAAAUACAUAUGAAUUUAUAUUGAAUAGGAUUCUCAGUUCUUUGCAUGCUUCUAGCUUGGAGUACAUGAUGGAUGAGGGCCUUCAAGAGUAAGGAAAGUAUUAAUUCUUGGUUUAUAGAUUGUUCCCUGUUUCUAUUGUGUGGUCUAGGGUAUUGAGCAAGGAACUUCCAGGAAUCUAAUUACAGGUUUUGUGAUUUGAUUUAAUGCCAUGUUAUUGAGGUCUAUGGCUGCGAAAUUCUAGUCUGGUUUGAGACAUCCUUUGGUAAUGGCCUCCUGAGGGAACACUGGAUGUCCUAUUUGAGUUUGACCUACUUGAGAUACAGAGAAACUAACUACUGGAGUUAAAUUGUCACACUGAUGAUUAACACAACCUCUUGCCUGUAUUGGAAGUAUAUUGUGCAUGCUGAGUUUGGAUUUUGAACAUGAAUCAAUCCUGGUAUACUUCAUAUGUGGUUUUUUCUACUCGCAAUACUUUGGGUAGAUAUACUGGAGUUAGCAAUGAAUGCUCUUUGUGGCAUCUGAAUUCUCUGUCAUCUGAGUUGAAGGAACCUUUCCUGUUACUGUUUUCUUUGACAAUGGGGUUGUAAUUUGAGCUGAUGAACAACUUUUUCAGUUACAAUUUGGGAAGAACAUGGAGAUGUAUCUUUAUUUCUAGCAUCUAAAUUUUAGCAUCUGAAUCCAUGGAGGAGCCCUUUCCUGUUAGGCAUUUCCCUGUUUCUAUUGUGUGUUGAGAGUGUUCAGCAAGGAACUUCUAACAAAGAGUGGUUUGAACUUACGGGAAUCUAAUGACACUAAGUAUUGGGAUUUUAUUUUAUUGCCAUGUUAUUAAUGUUUAUGGAUGCUAAAUUCUGGUUUCAUUUGAGACAUCUUUGGUGAUCUGCUGCCUAACUCUGGAGGAUGUCCGAUUUGAUUUAUGACCUACCGGGUGCUAGAGUCCAAUAAUUAAUUUUUACUAUGCAUGUUAUUCUGGUAAAAUUUUCCUUUCAUUCAGUCUCAUGAUUAAUUUGCCACUUACAAUCUCUGGAGACAAUUCAUAUACAGAGUAACCAACUACUGGGUGUAGUUACUGACGAUUAACGCGUUCUCUUGUCUGUAUGUGCCUUUUUCCCUCAAUACUUCUGGUAGAUAUGUUGGUCCUCUUGCCUGUACUAUGUCUGAAGCUUGUUAUUGAAAGCUGUAUGUGCGCCUUUUUCCCUGAAUACUUGUGGUAGAUGUGCUGGUCCUCUUGCCUGUACUAUCUCUGAAGCUUGUUAUUGGGAGCAUGUAUGUGCGGCUUUUACCCUCAAUACUUUUGGUAGAUAUGCUGGAGUAGCAAUGGAUAUUCUUUCUUUCCAACCAUGUGAGAUUUGUUAUUGCACUUUGGGAAAAAAUGCAGGAUUUAGCCGUGGAUAUUCUUUCUGGCAUCUGAAUUGAAUACUCCUCUGUGUCAUUUGAGUUGAUGGGGGAACCUUUCCUUUACUGAUGACAAUGGAUUGUACUGUGUGCUGAUAAGUUCUUUACUUAGGAGUGAUUUUUUGUACAGCAUGUUGGCACUUCUGUGGUUUUUUUGUCACUUGUUCUCUGUCCUCCCUAUUUGAAGACUGCUUUCUAGAGAAAAGUAUCGCCUUUGUGAAGCUUUCCCUGAUAAUUUGAAGGGUGAAGAUAGCAUUAUUUAAUUGAUGCCUGUCAACAAGCUUAAGUUGUUUAUGAUUUCUCCUUGUGAAGAUGCUUUUAAAGAGAACUUGAAAAACUUCAUUGAUUUUUGAAAGGAACAUCAAAGAUAUAUACACACUUUCAUGUCUACUAGAAGUGGUUGUUUGUUCUUACCCUCGUACUUGGACUGCUUUUAGAGGAUGAUCUCUCUUUUGUGAAGGCUCUUUUGCUGAUCUUUGAAGUUCAAAAAUAGUGCAACUUUGGAUGCCAUCUCCUGGUUAAGAUGUUUUAGAGUUUUAGAAUAACCUCAUUGAAUUUGUCAUCUCCUUGUUAAAGAUGUUUUUCUGGAGUUUUAGAAAAACUUUAUUGAUUUGGGGAAAUGCACCAUGUAGUUAAAUCUUCCUUACUGGAUAAUAUGUCUAGUCAGUUUCAAGGGGUUAUUCAUUUUGGGUUGCUCAUGAAGGAGGCUAUGUGAUGAUUGCUAGUUUUGUUCACAAUUUUGCUUCUGGUGCAAAGCUGCUUUUUUAAGCUUUUGUAGUUUUGCUCACAUGAUGAAAAGAUUGUAUAUGUUUGCUUGUCAGUUGUUACCAUUUUGUUUGAUAUUUAUAUGGGAAUUGGAAAGAUUAACUUUCUUGCA